rnacentral:rRNA from 1 species
GACGAAGGAUGCAAGCGUUAUCCGGAUUCAUUGGGUUUAAAGGGAGCGUAGGUGGUCUUAUAAGUCAGUGGUGAAAUCUUCGAGCUUAACUCGGAAAUUGCCAUUGAUACUGUAGGACUUGAGUACAGUUGCUGUGGGCGGAAUAUGACAUGUAGUGGUGAAAUACAUAGAGAUGUCAUAGAACACCGAUUGCGAAGGCAGCUCACAAAACUGUAACUGACACUGGGGCUCGAAAGUGCGGGGAUCAAACAGGAUUAGAUACCCUAGUAGU